ensembl:snRNA U5 U5 spliceosomal RNA
AUAUUGUGGUUUCUUUUCAUAUCAUGUGAAUCUUUCGCUUUUUACUAAAGAUUUCCGUGGAGAGAAACAGUUUUGAGUGUCUACUUAAGUUUUUGAGGUUGUGUGUUUUAGAAGAGGU